rnacentral:rRNA from 1 species
UACGAGGGGCCCAAACGUUAUUCGGAUUUACUGGGCUUAAAGAGUUCGUAGGCGGCUCAGUUAGUCGGGUGUGAAACCCCCGGGCUCAACCCGGGGACGCCACCCGAUACUGCUGUGGCUAGAGUCCGGUAGGGGAGCGUGGAAUUCCUGGUGUAGCGGUGAAAUGCGCAGAUAUCAGGAGGAACACCAGCGGCGAAGGCGGCGCUCUGGGCCGGAACUGACGCUGAGGAGCGAAAGCGUGGGGAGAGAACGGG